CUCAUUUGUAUCGUUUUUAAUUUUUGUAUUAAAUUUGAUUUUUUGUGCGCAAAGAAAGAACAUCGGCAAAUUUUUCAACAAAGAAAAAAUAAUUUAUUAUUAUUAAUAAAAAAUGGCAAAACCAAAUUUCCUCGAUAGUGAUGAUAGUUUACUCGAAAAGAACUUAAAAUUUAUUAAAAAUGAAGUGGAAGAAGAAUUGGAUCAAAUGUUUGGAUCUGGUGGAAAUGCACCCAACAGCACAACAGUAACACCACCUCCACGAGAUUUCAAAAUUGUUACUCCAAAGCCAGGAAGUCAAACUGAGGACGAGGGAGACUCAAGCAACGACGAGACUACACCAGGGCCUCCUACAACCCAAGAAGUUUAUAAAGCAGCACGUUACUACAGAUCGUCUAAAAGAUAUGUGAUUAAGGCAGAGAAAAAGGACCCAAAUACUCUCAGUGCAAGAGAAAAAGCUCUUUUGAAAAAACAUAGGAAAUUGAUGAGACAACAUGAACGCCAGCUUGCAAUGACUACUACCGUUCCCACUGUUACCUCUCAACACUUGAAUGCUAAAAAGCCAGACAACGUUGAAGUAAGUGCUGCCAUAAACAACAUAAACCAUGAACAGGCCGGUAAGAACCCUACCAACUCAAAUACAAAUCUGGCAACUUCCAGCAUGGAACAUCAAAUCAACACUACAUCGAACUUGAUAAGAAAUGAGAAAAGACCAAUAACGGAGGAGUCAACCAACACUGAAGGUGUUAAAAAAGUUAAAGCCACCCCAAUUGAUCUGAAAGUGACCAUAAUAAAUCGAAACGAAGGGCAUUGGAAAAUCACACCAACAAAUUGGUUACUUGUCGAGAACGAAAUACUCAAAACCAUGAUGGCAAGUUCUGAUGUCUACAUCUUUAAUGGAAAUAUAUGGCUGAAAGGAAUAAAAGUGAUUUACUGUGGUAACCAGAAAUCCCGGGAGUUUCUCACAAAUACAAUCGCUAAUAUUGGCGAACUGUGGGAGGGCGCUUCUCUCGAGGUUCUUCCUCUCACAGCCUUAACACAUUGCCAAAAGAUUGAAAUAUUAAUUCCUCCUCCUGUCACGCACGAUAACUCAUCCAUAAUUAAACUGUUGGCGAGACAGAAUAUAGAGUUUCCCAUAAAAGAAUGGAUGUUUUUGCAAUCCAAGAAGAGUUUCGGGGGGGAAGGAAAGGACCUCUUGUUCAUAAUUGACAAGAAAUCUGACCUUCUCCUGAAAGAGAAGGAAGACGUUUUGAGAUAUGGUCUCGGAAUAGUAGAGACAAAAAGGCUUGGUGGCAAUGGGUCAAAAAUUGCUGGUGGUGCAAAUUUAUUUGCAUCACACUAAAGCAGCGACGCACGACCUUAUGCUUUACAACCUUUUUCACCUCUACGUCAGAAAAAGAUAGGUACAGCAACAGGUAUAACAGCAGUUAGCGUUGAAUCUAACGAAGAUAAUUUCGUCUUGGCGUUCAAUGAAGAAAAUCCACCAGCAAAAACAGUCCACAGUCUUGUGGAUUACACCACAGUACGAGGGACACCUUUGUUGAUGGGAAUUUAAACAUUUUCCUUUAAUUAAAGAUACUCUUAUUUACCUACAUAAAUUACUUUGUAAAUUGAAAUUUGUACUGUAUUGCAAUUGUAUUUUUCAUGUGAAACUUUCACAGAAGAAAAAUUAAAUUUUUUUUAAACAA